AAGAAGGCCUUUUGGUUGUAAAGCACUUUAAGCGAGGAGGAGGCUCCUUUAGUUAAUACCUAAAGAGAGUGGACGUUACUCGCAGAAUAAGCACCGGCUAACUCUGUGCCAGCAGCCGCGGUAAUACAGAGGGUGCGAGCGUUAAUCGGAUUUACUGGGCGUAAAGCGUGCGUAGGCGGCUUUUUAAGUCGGAUGUGAAAUCCCUGAGCUUAACUUAGGAAUUGCAUUCGAUACUGGGAGGCUAGAGUAUGGGAGAGGAUGGUAGAAUUCCAGGUGUAGCGGUGAAAUGCGUAGAGAUCUGGAGGAAUACCGAUGGCGAAGGCAGCCAUCUGGCCUAAUACUGACGCUGAGGUACGAAAGCAUGGGGAGCAAACAGGAUUAGAUACCCUGGUAGUCCAUGCCGUAAACGAUGUCUACUAGCCGUUGGGGCCUUUGAGGCUUUAGUGGCGCAGCUAACGCGAUAAGUAGACCGCCUGGGGAGUACGGUCGCAAGACUAAAACUCAAAUGAAUUGACGGGGGCCCGCACAAGCGGUGGAGCAUGUGGUUUAAUUCGAUGCAACGCGAAGAACCUUACCUGGCCUUGACAUACUAAGAACUUUCCAGAGAUGGAUUGGUGCCUUCGGGAACUUAGAUACAGGUGCUGCAUGGCUGUCGUC
rnacentral:rRNA from 1 species